GUCACCCGCAGGUGCUGGGCUUCGUUGCUGUUUCUGGCAGGGUCCUGCUUCUCGCGCCAGCUGCACUGGGUUUGGCGUCUCUGCUGUUCGCUGAGAUCUGCACUCUCCAGGAGCCAUAGGGAGGACGCCAGGACAGCCCCGAAGACGAGAAUGCCUCGCUCCUCCUAGGACGGGAGGAAAAUCCCACAGAUCCUGCCUACUCCAAGCAGCCGCGCCCCUCGGGAGACCACCCCAGUUGGAGGGGCCCACUCCAGCCACCGCUACACCGGGACGCGCUCCUCCUCCCCCUGUGCCCGCCCCUUCUCAUGAGGGACCACCAGGAGGCCCCUCGAUUCCCCAGCAAAACACAGGUUUUGGAGCCAGAGUUUCUGAGUUUGAAUGUUUGGUCUGCU
rnacentral:lncRNA from 1 species